AUUGAACGCUGGCGGCAGGCCUAACACAUGCAAGUCGAGCGCGCGGCGGGCGGGUGAGUAAUGUCUGUGAAACUGCCUGCUGGAGGGGGGUAAAUACUGGAAAAGGUGGCUAAUACCGCAUACCAUCAGAUGUGCCCCCAUGGGAUUAGCUCGUAGGUGGGGUACAGGCUCACCUAGGCGACGAUCUCUAGCUGGUCUGAGAGGAUGACCAGCCACACUGGGACUGAGACACGGUCCAGACUCCUACGGGAGGCAGCAGUGGGGAAUAUUGCACAAUGGGCGCAAGCCUGAUGCAGCCAUGCCGCGUGUGUGAAGAAGGCCUUAGGGUUGUAAAGUACUUUCAGCGGGGAGGCGUUACCCGCAGAAGAAGCACCGGCUAACUCCGUGCCAGCAGCCGCGGUAAUUC
rnacentral:rRNA from 1 species